GCGCCCCUAGCUCAGCUGGAUAGAGCGCCUGACUACGGAUCAGGAGGUCGGGGGUUCGAAUCCUCCGGGGCGCGCCA
rnacentral:tRNA from 2 species